UACGCAGGUCCCGAGCGUUGUCCGGAUUUAUUGGGCGUAAAGCGAGCGCAGGUGGUUUAAUAAGUCUGAUGUAAAAGGCAGUGGCUCAACCAUUGUGUGCAUUGGAAACUGUUAGACUUGAGUGCAGUAGAGGAGAGUGGAAUUCCAUGUGUAGCGGUGAAAUGCGUAGAUAUAUGGAGGAACACCGGUGGCGAAAGCGGCUCUCUGGACUGUAACUGACACUGAGGCUCGAAAGCGUGGGUAGCAAACAGG
rnacentral:rRNA from 1 species